UGGCACCUGUGUUUUUUUCCCGGUGCUGGAUCCAGUAUGAUGGUGAUAGAAGAGGAACAAGGAUCUGAACUCUACAGCCCAGCAGGGUCUCUGAGGACUGUAUGAACACAGUGACAGGAGUUUCGGCGGAGUGAAUGACAGAAGGGGGAGGCUGAAGAGUUGACUGUCAGACUCACUCAGAUUCCAAUGUGCAAUUCUGGAUCACUCUGACACUCAUCUGAUAUUAGGUGACGGGACAAAAUAGAAGGAGAGAGGAAGAUGAGAACUACAUCUCCCAAACUUGUAGUGAACUGAUAAAAGGAGUUCAUGGCCCCAAAACACUAACCGCAGGUUUACCCUGAGAUAUGUUGGGUGUUUAGAAGCUGUGUGUUGACAAGAUGAUGCAGCAGAAUUGGAGGGCCAUGUACAUCGAUCUGGAAUUGCUGGCAGAGCUCAACGAGGAGAACAAGCAGAUCAUGUUCUGUAAGGAGCAGGAAAGGCACUGGGAUGAGAGGGAGAACCAGAACCAGGACCAGGCCAUGUAGGGCAGCAGAAGUAUCCAGUAGCUGCAGGGCAGUGAUGGGGAUGUGUGUGGGUGAUAGGCGACGCCCCUGGAGAUGAGCCUUAUGAUGACAUCAUUAAGGAGCUGAUGGGGGGAGAAAGCCAGACGGCAGGCUCAGCAGGAGGCCAAGGAGCUCUGGUGACUGGGGAGGAGAAAGGAUGCCCACAUAACCCAGUGCAGGGAUUUGAAUGCCAAAGAAAUGCGAGGAGGAGGAGAGACAUCAAGGUGAGGAGGAGAUAAAACUUGCAGAGGAGAAGAGAGCUGUAUCUCCCCGGAGCAGGAACAAAGGAGUGAGAAUGAUGAGAAGGAAUGGGAGGCGCAACGUAAGUCAAGUCUUCCCUGCCUUUUCUCUCUACACCUGUAUUCCUUUCCAUUGAUCACCUCCUUCUCCAUCCCUCAUUUUUACAUGAACCUCUUUUAUUAAUUUCUGUCCCUCCCUAAAUGUCAACUCCAAAACUUUUGUUGUUAAUCCUCAAACUUUCCUACACCUGAAAACAUUAAAUGACCCCGGCAAUCGAUAGAACAUCACUCAUGGAUGCACAAAUUAUAUAUAACAUUCAAAAUUGGUGAAUCCAGUCUCCUUUUUACAUCAUUUAACACCUGAUUUACAUAACAAAAGUCACAUCUCAAUAGGUGGUUCAGAUAAGUCAUGACAUACCACAAGUGGAGGGCUGGGAAUUUCCUUGUUUGUUCUCUAUUGGUCUUCUAUUGUUUCUCAAGCAAGGGGGGAGGCCAUUGACAUCACAACUUCCCAUCAAACCAACUAUUUGAAAGCCCUACUCCUUGAAGUAUGCAGUUGUGUUUAAAAAACACAAUCCUGCUUUAUUUGAAGUACAUCUUAUCGAAGGCUUCAUAAAGCAUUCAUAUAUGUUUUGUAACCACUACAUAAAUGGCUCACAAAUCAUCUACAACCUUAUUUCAUGCUCUAUAAAGGAUCAAAACAUGUGAACAAAUAAAUUAGAUGUUUAUGUCACACAGUUAUGCCACAUUAUGAAUCAUUCUAGAGCAUGAAAUAUGGUUACAGAUGAUUUAUGACACAUGUAUCUACUGCUUAUAAAGCCUUCAUAAGUUCUAGGCACGUGUCACAUACAACCCAGCAGUCCCUGUGGGCAAUAGAGAAGGGCCGUGUGGCGGUGCCUCCCUCAGGAGACACAGCACUGUGCUAGAGUCAUCCUCCUCGACCACCCACAGCACAGAUCGUACCCACUGCCCCAGCCUCCAGCCUGCUGCUCCUCCGCUGUACCGCCGCGGACAGUGUCCGAAGACACAGCCUCACUGUUACAAAGCCACUGAUGUACAGGACAGAUACAGAAUUGGCCUACUAUUCAUGAAUAUGUACAUGGAUAGACAUAGCAUAAUUACUAUGCGGCACCCAAUCCAUAUACAGAUAAGAUGCAUAGAAUGGUGAUGUAAAAAAAAGUAUAUAAUAUAUAUUGAGAGAUACACAGAAGCAGACCCGAUAGACCCGCAAGGCUUUUUUUGUGCCUGGAACUCAUCUAAAGCAUGGUGCACCUUUAUCACGUCACCAUUAAAAGGCUUUGGGCAAUCUUAUAUAUUAUGUAUUUAUUUCUUAUUAUAAUAUCAUGUGAUUAUGCAUGCUUCACUUCUCUAUCUUCUCCUGUCUCACCUGGGUGAGAGCCCCCCGGCACAGCUCCAGAGAAUGUGUUCUGCUAUGGUUCAAAGAGGAGCAAAUACCCAAACCGGCUGGCUAUGAGUGCAAUAGCACUACCACUACUGGUUCUAUGGAAGAGAUGAUCACCACAUCAGGAGAGCUUCUGCAGGAGGCAUGCAAAAGGACAGACUCAGCCACGGACUAUGGGAAAUCUUCCAAUGACCCCCUCAACACCUUGUCAGUUCACUAUGAACCUUUUUGUGCUCCCUGAGAUGUCACUUUGACCUCACCCCCUUGGAUUCACACAGAGGGAGCUCAAGAGCUCCGUCUUUCUCCAGGCGUGGAGCUAUGUCUUCCGACUCCUUCAGACGCCUUGGAUUCACACAUAGGGAGCUCAAGAGCUCUUCAGACUCCAACCGGACCACAGGACUGCCCAUAGACAUCCAUUCCCCCAGUAGCAUCUCACAUGCCUCACCCCAGCUGUAUAGCAGUGAGGACUGUAUAACACAAAAGAUGAGUGAGCCAUUGAGAUACAUAUCGUUUCUGCUAAGGGAGUUACACAAAUGAUUAGCAACAGUGCGAUUCAGGACAAGAUCCAGCUUUUAGGGAAAGAGCAGACUUGUGUACACAGGUAAGCAGACAGACACCCAGACACCGGAGGCAACAGGGAACAGAGGUGGAGUGAUAAAAGUGUCUAGCAUCUGUCAAAUACUCCAACUGACUAUUUAUUUUUGAAUGUUAAGAUUCUCACUUUGUUCCUUAAGCAAAUUUAUGGUAAGAUGCUAAUUACAAUUAGACAAAACAAAGGUCUCAGGGAGUACUACAGCUUUAACGUAGAGUCAUAGAGAACAUUGAACUUGUUUUUGUGCACUCAUCCCUAUAGGGAAUCUGUUGUCAUCCUGAUAGGGCUUUGUUCCUGAGCCAGACUGCAGUUGAAAGAGAGCAUUUGCAAAGAAAUCAAACUAUGUAUAUCGAAUGAAUGCACAUCCUCCUCCCAUGGGUUAAAGCUACUAUGAGAAGGAAUUAAUCAUAAUGCAAACAGUGCAAUUAUUCACUGAGAUCCACCUUGAAUGAAUGUCUUGAAUGAAUGGUGCAAGUGCCCUCCUGUUCAGGAUAUAAGACUAUUGCUGCAGUAGCACUGACAGCCUCACUGGUCCAGAAUGGGUAACCAGAGCUCCUCUUUUCCAACAGCCAGUAUCAUUCAGCAGUUAAGACAGCCAAUAGUUUUGUUAACAUCAUCAGCACACACCCCCACGUCCCCCAAAAACACACACAGACACACAUUCAAUCAUAAGCUCAGGUUUCCACAACACUGUGAAGAAUGCAUUGCUGGCUAGUAGAGAUGUCCUGCUGUAGUAAGCAGCAUGACGGAUUGUUGUGUGGCAGGCAGCUCGACUUGUCCAGCUUUAGGUAUCAUUUACUGGCAGUAGACCCAGCAUGAGUCAGUGAGCCAGGCAGUCAGUCUGUUUAGAGCAGCCAGUGGUCAGCCACAGCCACACAGCCAUUAAGUUACAUUAAAGUAUCACUCUGAACAUCAACCUCAUCAAAAACACCUCUCGCCAGGUCGUAAAUUGUAUGCAGCAGAGGACAUUUUUUUUUACCCUUUAGUAUUGGUGAUUGGAAUGUAGCUUUGUUACAGAGACCUUUGCUGCCCAAAAAUGCUUUAGUCCAAAAGUGAACACUGGAACAAUAUUCCUAACAUCCGAAUGUGGGGAAUGAUGAGAGAUGGUCUAUGGAAAACAAAUGUAUAUUUUGUGAUGUAAUUAAAAAUUAUAAUGAAAAUAUUGUAACUUGAACAGUAUACACAUUGUAUAUAUUAGGUUUUCAUCCUUUACGUUGUGUAGGAAAUAUCAAAGUUAAUGAGAGUAUUUUUGUUAAGAGAGGAAUGUGAUUUUAGUUUUCUAGCGAGAUCAUCGUUUUGAUGAUACUUUGCCCCAGUAAGUAGCCAGGCCCGAGGGAGCUCAGAGUGAGUCAGCAUGACGGAAACGCCCCCUUUUUACCAGAGUGUAUAAAAUAUGAGUUGAGACUCAA